UGUAUUGUGCAUUAGAUGGGUGGAAAAAUAGAAAAGAAAAUGAAAAAGAAAAAAACACGCACCUGAGGGAGGUCGGAGGGGAAGGCCAACACCGGCUAUUAGAGUUUUGUGUUGGGUAUUUCCUUUCUUUUUCCCUUUUAUUCUUUCUAUUUCUUUUUCAUUUUCACAUAUCUAGACGAUCAUAGGGAAGCUUAGACGAUCACCAAAUGGCUUUCUCAUUGAGGAGAAAGGGAAGGCAUUGAGGGAGAGGGCGAGGAUGAGGAGGAGGAUGGAGGAGAAGGCCAGGACAGAAAGAAAGUGAAAAACGAGGAAAUGGCCGGCAGCGGCGUCAGAGGAGGAGGUAGAGAAAAGGGAGGGAGAAGAGGAGGAGAAGGCGGAGAUGGAGGUAGAGGCGGCAGAG
rnacentral:lncRNA from 1 species